rnacentral:rRNA from 1 species
GACGAACGCUGGCGGCGUGCUUAACACAUGCAAGUCGAACGGAAAGGCCCUGCUUGUGUGGGGUGCUCGAGUGGCGAACGGGUGAGUAACACGUGAGUAACCUGCCCUUGACUUUGGGAUAACUUCAGGAAACUGGGGCUAAUACCGGAUAGGAGCGCCUGCUGCAUGGGGGGGGUUGGAAAGCUUCGGCGGUUGGGGAUGGACGCGCGGCUUAUCAGCUUGUUGGUGGGGUAGCGGCUUACCAAGGCUUUGACGGGUAGUCGGCCUGAGAGGGUGACCGGCCACCUUGGGACUGAGAGACGGCCCAGACUCCUACGGGAGGCAGCAGUGGGGAAUAUUGCACAGUGGGCGGAAGCCUGAUGCAGCAACGCCGCGUGCGGGAUGACGGCCUUCGGGUUGUAAACCGCUUUCGCCUGUGACGAAGCGUGAGUGACGGUAAUGGGUAAAGAAGCACCGGCUAACUACGUG